UAGUAUCAGCGUGUCAGCCGCCGCGGUAAUACGGAGGAUCCAAGCGUUAUCCGGAAUCAUUGGGUUUAAAGGGUCCGUAGGCGGUUUUAUAAGUCAGUGGUGAAAUCCGGCAGCUCAACUGUCGCACUGCCAUUGAUACUGUAGAACUUGAAUUAUUGUGAAGUAACUAGAAUAUGUAGUGUAGCGGUGAAAUGCUUAGAUAUUACAUGGAAUACCCAUUGCGAAGGCAGGUUACUAACAAUAUAUUGACGCUGAUGGACGAAAGCGUGGGGAGCGAACAGGAUUAGAUACCCUGGUAGUCCACGCCGUAAACGAUGGAUACUAGCUGUUUGGAAGCAAUUCUGAGUGGCUAAGCGAAAGUGAUAAGUAUCCCACCUGGGGAGUACGAACGCAAGUUUGAAACUUAAAUGAAUUGACGGG
rnacentral:rRNA from 1 species